CCUACGGGGAGCAGCAGUGAGGAAUAUUGGUCAAUGGACGAGAGUCUGAACCAGCCAAGUAGCGUGAAGGAUGACUGCCUUAUGGGUUGUAACCUUCUUUUAUAUGGGAAUAAAAUGUUCCACGUGUGGGAUUUUGUAUGUACCAUAUUAAUAAGGAUCGGCUAACUCCGUGCCAGCAGCCGCGGUAAUACGGAGGAUCCGAGCGUUAUCCGGAUUUACUGGGUUUAAAGGGAGCGUAGGUGGAUUGUUAAGUCAGUUGUGAAAGGUCGCGGCUCAACCGUAGAAUUGCAUUUGAAACUGGCAGUCUUGAGUACAGUAGAGGUGGGCGGAAUUCGUGGUGUAGCGGUGAAAUGCUUAGAUAUCACGAAGAACUCCGAUUGCGAAGGCAGCUCACUGGACUGCAACUGACACUGAGGCUCGAAAGUGUGGGUAUCAAACAGGAUUAGAUACCCCUGUAGUC
rnacentral:rRNA from 1 species